GCGGCGGACGGGUGAGUAAUGCCUAGGAAUCUGCCUGGUAGUGGGGGACAACGUUUCGAAAGGAACGCUAAUACCGCAUACGUCCUACGGGAGAAAGCAGGGGACCUUCGGGCCUUGCGCUAUCAGAUGAGCCUAGGUCGAUUAGCUAGUUGGUGAGGUAAUGGCUCACCAAGGCUACGAUCCGUAACUGGUCUGAGAGGAUGAUCAGUCACACUGGAAUGAGACACGGUCCAGACUCCUACGGGAGGCAGCAGUGGGGAAUAUUGGACAAUGGGCGAAAGCCUGAUCCAGCCAUGCCGCGUGUGUGAGAAGGUCUUCGGAUUGUAAAGCACUUUAAGUUGGGAGGAAGGUUGUAGAUUAAUACUCGCAAUUUUGACGUUACCGACAGAAUAAGCACCGGCUAACUCUGUGCCAGCAGCCGCGGUAAUACAGAGGGUGCAAGCGUUAAUCGGAAUUACUGGGCGUAAAGCGCGCGUAGGUGGUUCGUUAAGUUGGAUGUGAAAUCCCCGGGCUCAACCUGGGAACUGCAUCCAAAACUGGCGAGCUAGAGUAUGG
rnacentral:rRNA from 1 species